GAUAAGGUGACUGAAGUUUAGGUGGUAAAUUGUAAAUUUAUUUAUGGUCUAUAGACCCCUUAUCA
rnacentral:tRNA from 1 species